CCCUCGGAGAGUUAUAUCAAACGGUAGUAGCUUUGGCAAAACCGGACUCGUAGAACAGGGAA
ncrna:Bacillus cereus Rock1-3 RAGATH-18 RNA